UACAGAGGUCUCGAGCGUGAGGCGGAAUCACUGGGCUUAAAGCGUGUGUAGGCGGAUCGUUAAGUGCCUUGUGAAAUCCCACGGCUCAACCGUGGAACUGCUUGGCAUACUGGCGGUCUUGAGCAACCUAGGGGCGAGCGGAACAAAUGGUGGAGCGGUGAAACGCGUAGAUAUCAUUUGGAACGCCAAUGGUGAAAACAGCUCGCUGGGGGUUUGCUGACGCUGAGACACGAAAGCCAGGGGAGCAAACGGG
rnacentral:rRNA from 1 species